CUGUGCCAGCAGCCGCGGUAAUUCCAGCUCCAAUAGCGUAUAUUAAAGUUGUUGCAGUUAAAAAGCUCGUAGUUGAAUUUCGGAGUUUGUCGGUUGGUCGGGCUUCACUGUCCGCAACUGGCCUGAUGGAUUCCUACCUUCUGAAUAACCAGCCAUGCUAUUAAUUUAGUGCGUUGGGGAAGCAGAGCUAUUACCUUGAAAAAAUUAGAGUG
rnacentral:rRNA from 1 species